ACCAAACUUCUGUCUCUGAUUUGUUGUUACUGUCUCCUCCUUUGCAGGCUGUUUGCCUCAUUUCCAAUGAAAAGACAGCAGAGGAGAGUGAGUGAUGGCCCAAAUAAUCUACAGCUGCUAUCAAAUCAAGCUCUGGGGGUAAGUGAUGUUCCACAGAGGGUUUAAAGCAGAGGCUAGUGCUGUGAGCUCAGGUAAAUGGUGGUGUUACUGGGGUUUUACAUGUAGCAAUAAUACAGGUCUUGGAAACUCAGACAGAAACUUGUACUUGGUGCUGCUAUCACUGAAAAGAAGGUGAGGAUAAGAAACUGUUUUUCAGUGCUCCCCUAACAGGCUGUAAUCCCAGUUUCUAGCAGCCAUCAGUGACCGAGAGAUGUGUUCCAGCAGGUAGAAUUGUGGUUCCUUUAGAAACUAGAGACAAGAUUAACUGUACUGUAAAAUACAUGCCAAGCCAUACAGCAACCGAGACUCACAAAGCAGGCUGUGCAAAUGUUGUGAUGCAUUUUGCCAAAACCAGCACGGAAACGGCAGACAGGAGAAGUGUAAAUGGCUGAAGGUUAACCCAGGACAGCAAGGCACUACAGGGCUGCUCACAAGUGGAAUCGUCUACGUGCUGCCAUGGAAACAGCAGCCUUGGUCCCCAGCACAGCUUGCAGCCAUCUGCAAGGGAACAAUUGUUGGUCUGUUUGUUUAAAACCAUCCGGGGUGGUGCUGGGCGGUGUGUGGCUGGCCAAGGGGAAGCCACAUGGGACAUGACAGGACGUGCUUGUCACACUGAAUAGCACAGCAGACAAAUGCC